rnacentral:rRNA from 1 species
GUGCCAGCAGCCGCGGUAAUACGGAGGGUGCAAGCGUUAUCCGGAAUCACUGGGUUUAAAGGGUGCGUAGGCGGUUCGUUAAGUCAGUUGUGAAAUUCCCCCGCUUAACGGGAGGGACUGCGAUUGAUACUGAUGAACUUGAAUCAGGUUGAGGUAGGCGGAAUGUGACAUGUAGCGGUGAAAUGCAUAGAUAUGUCAUAGAACACCGAUUGCGAAGGCAGCUUGCUGGACCUGUAUUGACGCUGAGGCACGAAAGCGUGGGGAGCAAACAGGAUUAGAAACCCCGGUAGUCC